GGUUGCGAUCAUACCAGCACUAAUGCACCGGAUCCCAUCAGAACUCCGCAGUUAAGCGUGUUUGGGCGUGAGUAGUACUAGGAUGGGUGACCCCCUGGGAAGUCCUCGUGUUGCAACCC
rnacentral:rRNA from 1 species